CCUACGGGCGGCUGCAGUGAGGAAUAUUGGUCAAUGGGCGCUAGCCUGAACCAGCCAAGUAGCGUGAAGGAUGACUGCCCUAUGGGUUGUAAACUUCUUUUAUAUGGGAGUAAAGUGCAGUAUGUAUACUGCUUUGCAUGUACCUUAUGAAUAAGGAUCGGCUAACUCCGUGCCAGCAGCCGCGGUAAUACGGAGGAUCCGAGCGUUAUCCGGAUUUAUUGGGUUUAAAGGGAGCGUAGGCGGGUUGUUAAGUCAGUUGUGAAAGUUUGCGGCUCAACCGUAAAAUUGCAGUUGAUACUGGCAGCCUUGAGUACAGUAGAGGUAGGCGGAAUUCGUGGUGUAGCGGUGAAAUGCUUAGAUAUCACGAAGAACUCCGAUUGCGAAGGCAGCCUGCUGGACUGUAACUGACGCUGAUGCUCGAAAGUGUGGGUAUCAAACAGGAUUAGAUACCCCAGUAGUC
rnacentral:rRNA from 1 species